UAAAAACGAGGAGGGAGGGGGAUGGGGAGACCCAUGCCCCCAGCCCCUGUUCCCUCUGUCCAUCGGUCCCUCCGCUUGGUCCCUGCAGCCAGCAGCUACACAGGCAUGGGCAUCUCAUUGUACUCGUCCACACCCUCCCGCUCGUCGAACACAGGCUCUGCCUCGUUAGCAUCCAGCUGUUGAGGGGGAGAUGGGUGUUAGGAAGAUGCGAGUGAGCACCACCAUGCGGAGCGGCACUGUGAGGAUGAGGAUGAAGGGGAAGGCCAGAGAGGCAGCUGUGGACAUGACGGCCCAGAGCAGGGCUAGGCAGAGCAGCUGCAGGGCUGUGAACAGGCGCCACAGCCUUGCUCAUGACAGUGAGCGCGUUGGCAUGAGUGACGGAACGGACGGUGGCAGCAGCUAACCAUGGCAGGCCAAAGAGGGCACAGAUGCCACCCAUGGCCACGAUCAGCAGCAGGUCCAGGUGGAAGCCGGAGCCCUUCUGCAGCAUGCGCUCCUUCUUGGAGAUGAUCAGCCUGGAUGGGAAGAGGCCUCUUUCACUGAGGCCCAGGCUCUGGGGACAGCCAGCCUGGCAGACAGCCAUGUCCUUCCAGGGUGCCCCUGCCAAUCAUCUCUUGUCUGUGUUUGGAACCUGGUGGUUCCUGACCAUUCCCCCUGCCCUGGCCUGUUUUCUUUCAGAACCAGAAGUCCCUAAGGGAACUGAACCCUCCCUGCUCAGCCCACCCUCCAGCACAGCUCCCACCAAGCACUGCAAGGCUAGCCGUCACCUUUACUCUAUCCCAUCACAGCACUGUUGUGCUCAGCAAAUGUCAGUGAGAUUUUACGCUGCCUACAAAAUAAACUCCAGCAGCCAGCCUGGUGUUCCAGGUCCUCCGAGUCCAUGGGGUCCCCUCCAUCGACGUGGCUUUGGUUCCCAUGCUGUGCUCCCCGGCCUGGCCCAGAACAACUCACGUGGUGAUCUGCGUCUCCAUGAAGAUGAGGAUGAAGACCAGGAUGGCCGGCAACAAGCUGGCAACCAUCAUCCACACCGGGAAGGGGCUCUUCUCCCCCAGGGGGUUGAUGACCCAGCCCCGUUUUUCAGGGGCUGUCACCGAGAAUCCACUGGGCACACUCAACUUCUAUAAGGCAGAGGACAGGUUGGGGGGAGAGGGGCAGGGUGAGAACCAUGGUGGGGACAGCCCUGAGGUUCACGGGGCAGAAUGAGAGCUGGCAUGCUGUGGAAAAGGCCAGCUUCAGAGGGGCUGGGGGCUGGAGGGGACACCCAGAACCCAGGGUGGUGGGAGCAUCCCGGGACCAGGUGGUACCCACUCGUUGCUAGGCCCUUACCUGGGUGUAGGUGUCCUCAAUACUGUAAUCCACAAGCACCAUGAUGAGGAUUGCGAUGGGCACCCCAAAGUCCCCAAUCACCCGCCGGAUCUGUGUGGGCAAGCGCCAUGUUCAAAGGCCUCCCAACCCCUCCCCACUCCAGUCCCUUAUUUCCUUUCACUCACCACUUUUCCUACCCUCAGCACCCAUCCCCGCUAGCCUUCGCACCCACGCACCCGACCAGGGAAGAACCGGCUGUUCUUGAACUUGCGCAGGAAGAAGGCAAUGAAGAAGGUGCUGGCCAUUAGCACCAGCGACAGCAGGGCUGUAUUGGGCUGGCCCCGGGGCUUCUCCUGCCCGGGCUGCCCAGCCGAGCUCCCAUUCCCCAGCCCCGACAUUGUUCUUGCCCCAUCCCAUGUCUUAUUCUCGCCGCCGUCUGCCUCUGAGCUGUUGGAGAAUGAACAGCCAUGGAGUGGAUGCUCCUGGAAGAUCUGGGAAGAGGAGGGCCACAGAAGACUACCAUCAGUCAGAGAUGAUUUCCUGUGCUCAGCUGUAUGCUACCAGAGGGAUGGGGUGGGCCUGCUGCCUUCCAAGAUCUUAUCUCAUUGGAUUAAGAAAAUGACCUACAGAGCCAGAUGUGAGCACAGGACAAUUUGGGAUUAAGAGAGAGGCUGAGGGAGGGCCUGACGAGCCUGGGUGCAGGUCAGUGUAGGCUGGCCUCAUUCAGGAGGGGAGCUGGGAGAGGGUGGCUCCAGCCAGGCCCCAAGAGGAGGCUCAAAUGGUCUGAAGAGGGAAGAGGAACCCCGAGCACAGAAGAGCUGUGGGGUGGCACAUCUGCUCUUAAGUCUGUUAAGCCAACAUGGAUCUGAUGCACCACAUACGACCACGUUUUUCAUCCCCAGGUCCCUGCCCUUUCUACACUUCUCCAUCAUUGGACAUUUUAAUAAAAGCAGGUGCUACCUUUGCUAUUAAAAACAUGUUCAUUUUUAAAAGACUGAGUUGAAGCCCUGGCAUGUGUGCUGGAGACAGGCAGGUGGGCAGACGGGAAGAACAAGCCCUAACGGUAAAGACUCCACAGACUGCAGCCCCAGGGGAAACUCUGGGAGCCUGGGUCAAAUCCAGAGGAACGUAGUGAGAGAAGGGAGAGGCCUCCACCCGGUUCUCUCUGGACCUGAGCUCCACCCUACCUCCUGCCCCAGUUCUCAGGGGCCUGCCCACCUUAACCAGCUUGUAGAAGGUCUCGUAGAUGAAGAUGAGGGAGAUGAGGAAGGCAAAGAUCUCCUGGGUGAAACGGGAGACAAAGCGCACCAGGAAGCUCCCCUCCAGGGCCACCAUGAGCAGCGCCAGAAGCACCAGCCAGAAGC